AAAAUGACCUUGAAAUAGGAGUCCAUGUGAUUUAUUCAAACUUAAUAAUGAAUGUAAAAUAAUACUCCUAUAUCAAUCAAUCGAAAAGUGUUGAAAUUCUUGAUAUAAUGCUGGUGAGCUCUGUUGCCGCCAUGGAAACGGUGGAAGAUGGACCUAAAAUUCCCGAAAGUUGCAAAAAAUCAUGGAGAAGGGAGAAGACGAUCGAAUCAGUGAGUUGCCGGAUUGCUUGUUUCUACAAAUCCUGUCUUGUUUACCCUGUACAAAAGGUGCCAUUAGAACAGGUACACUUUCGAAGCGAUGGACAAAUCUUUGGAGUAAGCUUUUCUUCUUUAGUUUUCAUACAUAUUGAGGAUAAUCAACCAUGGUCCGAUUUUGUUUCGUGCGUCGACAAAACCCUAGUUCAAUGUCGGCAAGUGAAGCUUAAGAAAUUCGAAGUGGAUGCCACUUAUGAUACUGGCUUUGAAUCGCAAGUCAACAAUUGGAUACGUUAUGCUACAAGAUGUAAUGUUGAAGAGCUUUACUUAACGUUAUGGGAUAUGGAUUCCGAAGAGGAGUGUCUGGUAGAUCAAUUUUUUAUUCAUAAGUUCAUGUUUUACUGAUUUGAGAUUAUCAGGCUGUGAACGAUAUUAUCGAAAAAUAUUUCAUCACUAACAAUCAUAGAUGAUUUGUUGUUGUGGAAGCUUUUGUUAGUAAACUUGCCUUCUUUAGUGGAAGCAGAGUUAGAUUAUACAAGGAUAGGGCAUUGGGGAACAUCGCAUAAAGAAGAUGAAGAAGAGAUGCUUAAAGGAUUUAAUACUAAACCUCUCCCAUGUCAAGGAUCUUAAAAUUGGGAUUUUCUGUUGUAUGGUUCUGAAGCGUUUGGAAGCUAAAAGGUUUCGCUUUUUCAUCAAAUAUGAAGUUUCCUGAUGGUUUUCAUUAUUGGUCUGAGAGUGAGAGUGAGAGUGAUUCAGUUGGGAGCGGAGAUUUGUAAUGAAUUGAAUUUAUGUUUUGGCACGUAAAAUAUUGUCUCUAUUUUCUCUUCAUUUUUGGUAUAUGUGGUUCCAUUGUUUCCUCUCAAUUGGGUUGUGGAUCAUUUCAUAUUUUAAGAUAUUGGUCGAUUGAUUGUUUCA